GUUUGAAAAAAGAGGCAGGACGUGGGCUUUUUUUAGGGACUGGUUUUGAACAGAGAGAGACUGCUGCUAGGGAGAGCUGAUUAAUAUGGAAACAGCAACUGCAAAUUGCAUUUCCCCAGGGCAAGGGAAAUAAGAGCCCUGGGCACCUCUCCAGCGGUUGCAGUAGGAGUUAGCGAGACGCCCCCCGACGGA